rnacentral:rRNA from 1 species
AUUGAACGCUGGCGGCAGGCCUAACACAUGCAAGUCGAACGAGUGGCGGACGGGUGAGUAAUGUCUGGGAAACUGCCUGAUGGAGGGGGAUAACUACUGGAAACGGUAGCUAAUACCGCAUACCAUCGGAUGUUCCCAGAUGGGAUUAGCUAGUAGGUGGGGUAAAGGCUCACCUAGGCGACGAUCCCUAGCUGGUCUGAGAGGAUGAACAGCAACACGGGAACUGAGACACGUGCCAGACUCCUACGGUAGGCAGCAGUGGGGCACAUUGCACAAUGGGCGCAAGCCUGAUGCAGCCAUGCCGCGUGUGUGAAGAAGGCCUUCGGGUUGUAAAGCACUUUCAGCGAGGAGGCGUUACUCGCAGAAGAAGCACCGGCUAACUCCGUGCCAGCAGCCGCGGUAAUAC